AUUGAACGCUGGCGGCAUGCCUUACACAUGCAAGUCGAACGGUAACGGGCCUUCGGGUGCCGACGAGUGGCGAACGGGUGAGUAAUACAUCGGAACGUGCCCGAUCGUGGGGGAUAACGAGGCGAAAGCUUUGCUAAUACCGCAUACGAUCUACGGAUGAAAGCAGGGGACCGCAAGGCCUUGCGCGGACGGAGCGGCCGAUGGCAGAUUAGGUAGUUGGUGGGAUAAAAGCUUACCAAGCCGAAGAUCUGUAGCUGGUCUGAGAGGAUGAUCAGCCACACUGGGACUGAGACACGGCCCAGACUCCGACGGGAGGCAGCAGUGGGGAAUUUUGGACAAUGGGCGCAAGCCUGAUCCAGCCAUGCCGCGUGCAGGAUGAAGGCCUUCGGGUUGUAAACUGCUUUUGUACGGAACGAAAAGCCUUCUUUUAAUACAGGAGGGUCAUGACGGUACCGUAAGAAUAAGCACCGGCUAACUACGUG
rnacentral:rRNA from 1 species